AGAGUUUGAUCAUGGCUCAGAAUCAACGCUGGCGGCGCGCCUAACACAUGCAAGUCGAACGAGAAAGUGGAGCAAUCCAUGAGUAAAGUGGCGUACGGGUGAGUAACACGUGGGUGAUCUACCUCUUAGUGAGGAAUAACCCUGGGAAACCGGGGCUAAUACCGCAUAAGCCUGAGAAGGGAAAGUCGAAAGACGCUGAGAGAGGAGCCCGCGGCCGAUUAGCUAGUUGGUGAGGUAAGAGCCCACCAAGGCAGAGAUCGGUAGCCGGCCUGAGAGGGCACACGGCCACACUGGCACUGAAACACGGGCCAGACUCCUACGGGAGGCAGCAGUGGGGAAUCUUGCACAAUGGGGGAAACCCUGAUGCAGCGACGCCGCGUGAGCGAUGAAGCCCUUCGGGGUGUAAAGCUCUUUCGUCAGGGAAGAUAGUGACGGUACCUGGAGAAGCAGCUGCGGCUAACUACGUGCCAGCAGCCGCGGUAAUACGUAGGCAGCAAGCGUUGUUCGGAGUUACUGGGCGUAAAGGGUGUGUAGGCGGUCCUUUAAGUUUGGUGUGAAAUCUCCCGGCUCAACCGGGAGGGUGCGCCGAAUACUGAGGGACUAGAGUGCGGGAGAGGAAAGUGGAAUUCCUGGUGUAGCGGUGAAAUGCGUAGAUAUCAGGAGGAACACCGGUGGUGUAGACGGCUUUCUGGACCGUAACUGACGCUGAGACACGAAAGCGUGGGUAGCAAACAGGAUUAGAUACCCUAGUAGUCC
rnacentral:rRNA from 1 species